AGAACGAACGCUGGCGGCAGGCUUAACACAUGCAAGUCGAACGCUCGACCUUCGGGUUGGGAGUGGCAGACGGGUGAGUAACGCGUGGGAACCUACCUGGUGGUCUGGAAUAACUCGGGGAAACGCGAGCUAAUACCGGAUACGCCCUUGGCUUAGGCUUAGGGGAAAGAUUUAUCGCCAUUGGAUGGGCCCGCGUCGGAUUAGCUAGUUGGUGUGGUAACGGCGCACCAAGGCGACGAUCCGUAGCUGGUCUGAGAGGAUGAUCAGCCACACUGGGACUGAGACACGGCCCAGACUCCUACGGGAGGCAGCAGUGGGGAAUAGUUGGACAAUGGGCGCAAGCCUGAUCCAGCCAUGCCGCGUGAGUGAAGAAGGCCGUUAGGUGUAAAUCUCGUUUCGGCGGGGAAGAUAAGUGACCGGUACCCGCGAGAAGAACGCCCCGGACUAACUCCGCGCCAGCAGCCG
rnacentral:rRNA from 1 species